GACGAACGCUGGCGGCGUGCUUAACACAUGCAAGUCGAACGGAAAGGCCCUGCUUGCCGGGUACUCGAGUGGCGAACGGGUGAGUAACACGUGGGUGAUCUGCCCUGCACUUCGGGAUAAGCCUGGGAAACUGGGUCUAAUACCGGAUAGGAGCCAUUUUUAGUGUGAUGGUUGGAAAGUUUUUUCGGUGUAGGAUGAGCUCGCGGCCUAUCAGCUUGUUGGUGGGGUAAUGGCCUACCAAGGCGGCGACGGGUAGCCGGCCUGAGAGGGUGGACGGCCACAUUGGGACUGAGGUACGGCCCAGACUCCUACGGGAGGCAGCAGGGGGGAAUAUUGCACAAUGGGCGCAAGCCGGAUGCAGCGACGCCGCGUGGGGGAUGACGGCCUUCGGGUUGUAAACUCCUUUCGCUAGGGACGAAGCUUUUUGUGACGGUACCUAGAUAAGAAGCACCGGCUAACUACGUG
rnacentral:rRNA from 1 species